rnacentral:rRNA from 1 species
UGGGGAAUAUUGCACAAUGGGCGCAAGCCUGAUGCAGCCAUGCCGCGUGUGUGAAGAAGGCCUUCGGGUUGUAAAGCACUUUCAGCGAGGAGGAAGGUGGUGAGCUUAAUACGCUCAUCAAUUGACGUUACUCGCAGAAGAAGCACCGGCUAACUCCGUGCCAGCAGCCGCGGUAAUACGGAGGGUGCAAGCGUUAAUCGGAAUUACUGGGCGUAAAGCGCACGCAGGCGGUUUGUUAAGUCAGAUGUGAAAUCCCCGGGCUCAACCUGGGAACUGCAUUUGAAACUGGCAAGCUAGAGUCUCGUAGAGGGGGUAGAAUUCCAGGUGUAGCGGUGAAAUGCGUAGAGAUCUGGAGGAAUACCGGUGGCGAAGGCGGCCCCCUGGACGAAGACUGACGCUCAGGUGCGAAAGCGUGGGGAGCAAGCAGAUUAGAUACCCUGGUAGUCACGCCCUAAACGUGUCAACUAGCUGUU